GAGGGCUAAAAGACGCGCGGACGCGGCCGACUGAUGCCUUGUUGCUCUAUACUGCCUGUAUAUCGGCUGCUAGCGACCCAGCACAAGAUUUGACCAUGUGAAUCACAUUUCGUAUUGUAGAGUAUUACACUCAGGUAUUACAGUGCUUUAGACUUCGAUCGAGCUACUUAUGUAUACAGGCACGCACGGAGGGCUACCAGACGACGCGCGGACGCGGCCGACUGAUGCCGUGUUGCUCUAUACUGCCCGUAUAUCGGCUGCGAGCGACCCAGCACAAGAUCUGACCAGAAAAUGGCGGCGGUGCGGUGGGGUUCCGAUGAAAAACGCGCCUUAAUUACAACCCUGGCCCGCGGGAAAUACUGCUGAUUUAGCUCCGUCUCUUCGCUUUUAACGCGUAUAAAGGGAGCUGUCUUGCAGCAAUAAUUCAUAAAUAAAGGCAUUAAAAGUGUCAUUAUAAAUUUUGCUACCUACAGCCAUCUAAAGAUUUUAACUGCGUUAUUAACAAACGCUUUGAAUACGAAAUGAAAGUAAUGUUUGAAUCAGGUUUAAUGAUUAGAUAUGAAGAU